GACACUGUUCAGCUUUUUUAUCUUUUACCAGUAUUUGGGGACUUAUUGGGGAUUCCUUUGAUAAUUUCAGGAAGAAAGAAGUGGAAUGGAAGGAGCCAGUAACUGUCCCAGGUCAGAAAACGCCUCUGAAAAGGAUCUACAUUACACCCAAAGUUCAUUGGAUAACUGCACCCUCAACAAUCAGGAGACAAUAAGUGGUGUAGACAGAGCUAAUAUCUUCCCCAAAUCAGAUGGUACCUCUGAAGACAUUCAGCAUUCCACAGACUGUUCACAGGUUGAGACUUUCCACAUUCAGGAGACAAUAAAGGGUAUAAACCAAGCCAGUAACUGCCCCAAAUCAGAUGGUGCCUCUGAAGACAAUCAGCAUUGCACAGACAGUCCACAGCAUGACAGUAUCUUCCACAUUCAGGAGACAAUAAAGGGUACAAACCAAGCCAGUAACUGCCCCAAAUCAGAUGGUGCCUCUGAAGACAAUCAGCAUUGCACAGACAGUUCACAGCAUGACAGUAUCUUCCACAUUCAGGAGACAAUAAGUGGUACGAACCAAGCCAGUAACUGCCCCAAAUCAGAUGGUGCCUCUGAAGACAAUCAGCAUUGCACAGACAGUUCACAGCAUGACAGUAUCUUCCACAUUCAGGAGACAAUAAAGGGUAUAAACCAAGCCAGUAACUGCCCCAAAUCAGAUGGUGCCUCUGAAGACAAUCAGCAUUGCACAGACAGUCCACAGCAUGACAGUAUCUUCCACAUUCAGUGGCUCUUGAUGUAGAACCACCCAUAGAUCCUUCUGCAAAAGAAGUCCAGAAAUCUUCAAUUGAACAAGCAACAGAAAUAACAAGUACCACAACUACCAUGAAAGGUACUGUUUGUUAAACUUCAUAGAAAGCCUUUAUGAACUUAAAAAUCUCUGUUUUUUCUGAUGUGCUUUGUUCAUUCAGGUCGAAAGGUGGUAAAGAAAAAGAAAUGGGACAGUGAUGAAAUGAAUGCAGUUGAAAAGCAUCUAAACAGGUUCAUCAAAACUUGUACAGUGCCAGGAAAACAACAAUGUGAGGCCUGUACCUGUUGCCUUGAAAGUUCUUUGUGAAGAACAAAAUCACUACCCUUAAAAGAAGAAUGUAAAGUCAGUUAUUUUAUUUUGUUUGGUAUCUUAUUUUCUGGUAUUUUAGAUUUCUGGUUAUUACAUUUGUUUUAAAAGGGAAUUAGAAGUGUCCUAGUGUCAGCCCAUCCUCUCCACCCCUCUUCAGAAAGAGCAGCUUAGAAUCUCUUUUUUUUUUUUUUUGGAAAUGGGUGC
ensembl:lncRNA